AGAGUUUGAUCCUGGCUCAGAAUGAACGUUGGCGGCGUGGAUUAGGCAUGCAAGUCGUACGGGCCGCAAGGCCAGUGGCGCAAGGGUGAGUAAGGCGACGGUAACCAACCCCAUGACUGGGUAUAGCCGCGGGAAACUGCGGGUAAUCCCCAGCGACGUCCGUGGGAGGCAUCUCCUGUGGACCAAAGCUCCGGCGUCGUGGGACGGGCCGUCGUGGUAUUAGGUGGUUGGCGGGGUAACGGCCCACCAAGCCUGUGAUGCCUACCGGGCGUGCGAGCGUGGCCCGGCACACUGGGACUGAGACACUGCCCAGACUCCUACGGGAGGCUGCAGUCGAGAAUCUUCGGCAAUGGGCGCAAGCCUGACCGAGCGACGCCGCGUGGAGGAUGAAGGCCUUCGGGUUGUAAACUCCUGUCGAGGGGAAAGAAGGGGGCGCAAGCCCUUUGACUGAUCCCUGGAGGAAGCACGGGCUAAGUUCGUGCCAGCAGCCGCGGUAAGACGAACCGUGCGAACGUUAUUCGGAAUCACUGGGCUUAAAGCGCGUGUAGGCGGGACGGCACGUCGGCCGUUGAAAUCCCCCGGCUCAACCGGGGAAGGGGCGCCGAUACGACCGUCCUGGAGGAACGUAGGGGGAGCUGGAACUUCCGGUGGAGCGGUGAAAUGCGUUGAGAUCGGAAGGAACGCCCGUGGCGAAAGCGAGCUCCUGGACGUUUUCUGACGCUGAGACGCGAAAGCCAGGGGAGCGAACGGGAUUAGAUACCCCGGUAGUCCUGGCCGUAAACGAUGGGCACUGGGUAGGGGCUCGCCGAUGGGCUCCCUGCCGUAGGAAACCGUGAAGUGCCCCGCCUGGGGAGUAUGGUCGCAAGGCUGAAACUCAUAGGAAUUGACGGGGGCUCACACAAGCCGUU
rnacentral:rRNA from 1 species